rnacentral:rRNA from 1 species
CUCCUACGGGAGGCAGCAGUGGGGAAUCUUGCACAAUGGACGAAAGUCUGAUGCAGCAACGCCGCGUGGGGGAUGAAGCUUCUCGGAGUGUAAACCCCUUUCGGUAGGGAAGAUAAUGACGGUACCUACAGAAGCAGCUGCGGCUAACUACGUGCCAGCAGCCGCGGUAAUAC